GCCGUGGUGGCACAACCUGGUACUGCGCUGGAUUGCUAAUCCAGUUUCCGCAAGGAUAUCCCGGUUCAAAUCCGGGCCACGGCG
rnacentral:tRNA from 1 species